rnacentral:rRNA from 1 species
GAUGAACGCUGGCGGCGUGCCUAAUACAUGCAAGUCGAGCGAACGGACGAGAAGCUUGCUUCUCUGAUGUUAGCGGCGGACGGGUGAGUAACACGUGGAUAACCUACCUAUAAGACUGGGAUAACUUCGGGAAACCGGAGCUAAUACCGGAUAAUAUUUUGAACCGCAUGGUUCAAAAGUGAAAGACGGUCUUGCUGUCACUUAUAGAUGGAUCCGCGCUGCAUUAGCUAGUUGGUAAGGUAACGGCUUACCAAGGCAACUAUGCAUAGCCGACCUGAGAGGGUGAUCGGCCACACUGGAACUGAGACACGGUCCAGACGCCUACGGGAGGCAGCAGUAGGGAAUCUUCCGCAAUGGGCGAAAGCCUGACGGAGCAACGCCGCGUGAGUUAUGAAGGUCUUCGGAUCGUAAAACUCUGUUAUUAGGGAAGAACAUAUGUGUAAGUAACUGUGCACAUCUUGACGGUACCUAAUCAGAAAGCCACGGCUAACUACGUG